rfam:Thermosynechococcus elongatus BP-1 DNA, complete genome.
AUCUCGUUAGAAUUGGCGACGUUCACUGUGAGAAGCAGCCUGUAGGGAAAAUCCAGUGCAAGUCUGGUGCUGUGCCGCAGCUGUGAUGGGAAUCUUCCCUCAGCCAGAAUGCCUACUUGCUGUGGUUCACUCUA